rnacentral:rRNA from 1 species
UCUAAGGCCAUGCCACCCUGAACAAACCCCAUCUCGUCUGAUCUCAGAAGCUAAGCAGGGUUGGGGCCUGGUUAGUACUUUAUGGGAGACCACCUAGGAAGACCAAGUGCUGUACGAG